rnacentral:lncRNA from 1 species
GAGCACCCUCUGGCACUGGCCAGGAUGAGGAGCCAUCUACCUCCUCAGCCACACAGGCCUCUUCAGAAAUGAUCUCAGAUCCUCAGGAUGAGGAGCCAUCUACCUCCUCAGCCACACAGGCCUCUUCAGAAAUGAUCUCAGAUCCUCAGGAUGAGGAGCCAUCUACCUCCUCAGCCACACAGGUCUCUUCACAAAUGUUGUCUGAGCCUGAGGAUGAAGACCCACUUGCUUCCAUUUCUCCCCAGCAGGAUUCUUCAGUCAAUGGGCUGCAGUGCUAUGGCUGUAACAUCAUCCAGGGCCAGAGGUACGUGGACAUUGGAUGCUCUAACCCAGAGGUCAUCACCUGCACCCACUCACACAAGGGCUUCAAACAUCGCUUCUGCAUCAAGACAGAGAGCACAGCCCUGGGAAUUGUCCUGACCAGUGGAUGUGCCACAUCAAGACACUGCCAGCAACAAGAGCUGCCUGGAGUGCGCAUCCACUGCUGCACCUCAGACCUGUGUAACAGCACCCCCUGCUGUCGAGCGAGCACAUUGCAUUACAUCUACGCACUGGGAAGCUUGCUGCUGCUGAGGUUGUGGUUGUGAUAUGAGGUCACACAACUUGUACUUGGACAGAUGGAACUCUGGAUAAACCAUCUAUGAAUGACACUGUACAUGGCUAGUUCUCAGUGUCUCUUCUCAGCUCCAUGUGUUAAGGGUCUGAGACUGAGAGGAGGGUUGUACAAUACUGUACAUCAGAGCAGGUUUUGUGAAGAUGAAUUUUCGCUGGGCUUCUUAUCCCAAUGUCAGAAACAAAGGAAAAUAACUAAGCCAAGGUUCCCAUAAUUCAUUAUUAUGAUGAUUUUAUAAAGUUAUUAAAUCAGUUCAGGAAGUGUCCCAGAGAGUAAUGUUCAUUUAAAACCAUCAGUAUGGCUAGCAAUGGCUGUAUGGCUUUCUAAGAUGCACGUUGCAUGUGGCUU